rnacentral:rRNA from 1 species
AGUGAACGCUGGCGGUAGGCCUAACACAUGCAAGUCGAACGGCAGCACAGUAAGAGCUUGCUCUUACGGGUGGCGAGUGGCGGACGGGUGAGGAAUACAUCGGAAUCUACUUUUUCGUGGGGGAUAACGUAGGGAAACUUACGCUAAUACCGCAUACGACCUACGGGUGAAAGCAGGGGAUCUUCGGACCUUGCGCGAUUGAAUGAGCCGAUGUCGGAUUAGCUAGUUGGCGGGGUAAAGGCCCACCAAGGCGACGAUCCGUAGCUGGUCUGAGAGGAUGAUCAGCCACACUGGAACUGAGACACGGUCCAGACUCCUACGGGAGGCAGCAGUGGGGAAUAUUGGACAAUGGGCGCAAGCCUGAUCCAGCCAUACCGCGUGGGUGGAGAAAGCCUUCGGGUUGUAAAGCCCUUUUGUUGGGAAAAAAAAGCAGCAGGUUAAUACCCCGCUGUUCUGACGGUACCCAAAGAAUAAGCACCGGCUAACUUCGUG